GGCAGUUCUGCUGACCAAAGCACCUUGUUGAUGAGAGAAGACAGAGCCAGACUGGUCAUAGCUGACAGAAAAUCUAUGUACUUCCAGGACCGUCCCCCUCUGGGUUAUCUAGUCUUGCCUGUCAACAUGUCACAUCCCAACACAGCUCUGUUCUUGGAGAGGCAGGACUGCAGGCUGGUGCUAAGGAAUGAGCUUUCACAGGUGUCACAGCUCGCUCAACACAUGAAUAAAUAAGGCAUGGAAGCCGCUUCGGGGGAGAAGACAAUGACAGGAAAAUGUAGAGGCCUCGUGGGAGCAAACAACAAGGCUGGGGAGUUCAGAGGCCAAAGCAGGUGGUUGGCCUGCAUUCAAACAGUGGCGGCAUUUGUGAGGGGAAGGGGAAUAUCUGUUUACCUGCUCGGGUCUAAGACAUUCUCUGAUGUCCGUGUCCUCGGAGGAUGAGAGAACACAGGAUGGCAGCAAGACAGACAAAGACCACUGUAUUAGAAAACAGCAUGUCCAAAUGACAGGUUGAUGUGUCAAAGUUAUUCAGUCAAUACUAAGGUAACAUACAGUGAAUGGUCUGUUUACAGAAAUGUAUUUUUAAAUCUAUAAAUUUCUGCAUGGAGAUCCAUUACGCCACUGUGCUCCUGCUGGGGUUUUGGUUGAUUCUGGUGCAUGAAAAUACAAAUAUA